rnacentral:rRNA from 2 species
GGCCUACCAUGGUGGUAACGGGUAACGGGGUGUUAGGGCACGACACCGGAGAGGGAGCCUGAGAAACGGCUACCACAUCCAAGGAAGGCAGCAGGCGCGCAAAUUACCCAAUCCCGACACGGGGAGGUAGUGACAAUAAAUAACAAUACAGGGUUCUUUUGGAUCUUGUAAUUGGAAUGAGUACAAUUUAAAUCUCUUAACGAGGAACAAUUGGAGGGCAAGUCUGGUGCCAGCAGCCGCGGUAAUUCCAGCUCCAAUAGCGUAUAUUAAAGUUGUUGCAGUUAAAAAGCUCGUAGUUGAAUUUCGGGAUCAAUAUUUCGGUCAUGCCGUUGGUAUGCACUGUUAUCAUUGAUUUCUCACCUUCUAAAGAACCGUAAUGCCAUUAAUUUGGUGUUACGGGGAAUUAGGACUGUUACCUUGAAAAAAUUAGAGUGUUUAAAGCAGGCUCACGCUUGAAUACAUUAGCAUGGAAUAAUGAAAUAGGACAUCCGAUUCUAUUUUGUUGGUUUCUAGGAUCGAUGUAAUGAUUAAUAGGGAUAGUUGGGGGCAUUAGUAUUCAAUUGUCAGAGGUGAAAUUCUUGGAUUUAUUGAAGACUAACUACUGCGAAAGCAUUUGCCAAGGAUGUUUUCAUUAAUCAAGAACGAAAGUUAGGGGAUCGAAGACGAUCAGAUACCGUCGUAGUCUUAACCAUAAACUAUGCCGACUAGGGAUCGGAUGAUGUUAAUUUUUUAAUGACUCAUUCGGCGCCUUACG